rnacentral:rRNA from 1 species
AACGAACGCUGGCGGCAGGCUUAACACAUGCAAGUCGAGCGCCCCGCAAGGGGAGCGGCAGACGGGUGAGUAACACGUGGGAAUCUACCCAUCCCUACGGAACAACUCCGGGAAACUGGAGCUAAUACCGUAUACGCCCUUGGGGGGAAAGAUUGAUCGGGGAUGGAUGAGCCCGCGUUGGAUUAGCUAGUUGGUGGGGUAAAGGCCUACCAAGCCGACGAUCCAUAGCUGGUCUGAGAGGAUGAUAAGCCACAUUGUGACUGAGACACUGCCCAGACUCCGACGGGCGGCAGCAUCGGGGAAUAUUGGAGCAUGGGCGCAAGCCUGAUCCAGCCAUGCCGCGUGAAUGAUGAAGGCCUUAGGGUUGUAAAGUUCUUUCACCGAUGAAGAUAAUGACGGUAGUCGGAGAAGAAGCCCCGGCUAACUUCGUGCCAGCCGCCGCGGUAA